rnacentral:rRNA from 1 species
CCGCCGGCGACCGGCGCACGGGUGAGUAACGCGUAUGCAACCUGCCCGUUUCAGCGGGAUAACCCGGAGAAAUCCGGCCUAAUACCGCAUGUGGCCGAGGGGAGGCAUCUUCUUUCGGCCAAAGGAGGCGACUCCGGAGACGGAUGGGCAUGCGUGACAUUAGCUAGUUGGCGGGGUAACGGCCCACCAAGGCGACGAUGUCUAGGGGUUCUGAGAGGAACGGUCCCCCACACUGGUACUGAGACACGGACCAGACUCCUACGGAAGGCAGCAG